UACGUAGGGUGCAAGCGUUACUCGGAAUUACUGGGCGUAAAGCGUGCGUAGGUGGUUUGUUAAGUCUGAUGUGAAAGCCCUGGGCUCAACCUGGGAACUGCAUUGGAAACUGGCUGACUAGAGUGCGGUAGAGGGGUGUGGAAUUCCCGGUGUAGCAGUGAAAUGCGUAGAUAUCGGGAGGAACAUCUGUGGCGAAGGCGACACCCUGGACCAGCACUGACACUGAGGCACGAAAGCGUGGGGAGCAAACGGG
rnacentral:rRNA from 1 species